ensembl:lncRNA
ACUCCAGCCCCUACUCGGUCCCAGGCCCGCUGCUGGAUUCGGGGAGGGACUUCCAGCCCCGAAUCUAGGCGGGAGGGAGCGUGGCACGCAGGCCUCGCCCCUCGGGGCGCGGCCGACCAGGGGUCCGAGGCUGCGCCGAAGCCGGGCCAGCUCCCAGCUCUGCGGGCAGCCCCCGGGUCCCGGGUGGGUCCGGCCCGCGCAGAGCCCUGCGGGCCGCACUCCCUCCCGGCGGGAGGAGGGGAAGCGGGGUCGGGCGGGGAAGGAAGUGGCAUCGGCUGUACGUUCGCGGCUUUGCAGUGGAGGGGAGAACGGCCAAGACCAAGCCCGCGCUUCCCGGGCCGCGCCGGGCAGAGGGAGCGGAGGGCGGAGAGGAGGGGCCGCGGGAGGGGCUGGAGGGUCUGGAGGAGCCGGGCCUGGGCCUCCCACUAGCCGGGAGCCCCGCGGAGCCGCCUCUCCGCGCGGCGGCCCAGGGAGUGAGUGGCACUGGCCGUCAGGGGCGUAGGAGGGAAGCCCCGGGGCGGCCCCGAGCGUGGGGACGACGGGGCGGCCGCCGGCUCGCAGGGCGCUGGCGCCUUCCCCACGGGACAGCGGGCGCGAGAGCGGAGGCCGGGAGCGCGGGCGGGAGCUGGGGACGCACCCCGUUCUCGCCAGCCCAGCGCGCCGCCGGUAACCCUACACCCGGGGCUCGCCUUUCGGGUGGAAGCCGGGGAAUGACUUUUGUGCGGACUUUUCCGGAGGAGCCGGCCGCCCUCUCUGUGGGGCCGCCUCCCGCCCGGAGGAGCCGCUUCCUCCGAGGUCAAGGUCGUUGGUUCUCGCUCUCCAGAGGCGCGAGGGAAACGCGGAGGGGACGCAGUCCGCGCCUCCCGCCUUCCACGGUGCCGGCACUGCCCGCCGCCGCCUCGGUGGGGACCGGGUCUCGGGGUCCCGGCGUCUCCCUAGCCUACCUCGCCACUUUCCCCAGCGCGCGGUGGGGGUCGCAGCCAAGGGCAUGCCCUGCAGCCGCAGCCGGAACCGACGGCGCCUGCUUUCCCCUUCCACCCGGAGGCGGUGACCGAGCCUCACCUAUUUCCAAGCCUGUGUUUCCACAAAAGACGGGAAGCAAUAAAAGUGGCCCCAGGAGAUUCCGGAAAUCUCUACAAAGAGAAAGUGGCCGUUCGCCUUUCCUUCAGCCGACAAGGCUUCACUGUCAAGCAUGGGGUUCUCGUGAACCUCCAAAUGACAGGACCAGCACAGCAACAACCUCUCAACCAGCACCCCACCCCCUCCAUUGUGGCAGCAGCCGUGGGAGCAGGGGCCAGGAGACUUGUCUGUCUUCUAGGAGAGCGGCGGUGAUUAUAGCGGCUAGAUCCUUACAAACCACCAAAAAGGUUUCAGGCACAGAACUGCAUAUUCAAUAA